UUUUCUUUCCUCAAAAGAGAACUUUGUUCCUCCAGGCUGGGCCCCCUGUAAUGCUGCAAACACCACUGAAAUUUUAAGUUCUCUUUUGUUGCGUGCUCUUGCUCCAUGCUGACAUCAUACACUGCUGAUCUGUUAAAAACCCUCUUUCUUCAACAGCAGCAGUUUUAAUCAUUGCACACAACUGAGUCCAACCGAUUAUUUUAAAGAUGGCUUUCCAUAAAUAAAUCUUGAACUCUACUAAUGAUCUCCAGCACUGACAGCGAUGACAACUCACAUCUUCAAUGGUCACACAAGUCUUUCUUUUGUGAGGUCAGGAACAGGAAACCAGAGACCUGGAAACACAGAUUCAGAUUUGUUGGGGUUGUUGCCGCUAAAAGAAACAACAAGAACAAAAAAGCCAAGUGGUUGAAUAUCCAUACAGAUGGUUACAGCAGGAUUUCAAGCGUGAUUCACAGAUAGAUGCACAUCUGUCAGAAGAUCAACCAAGCAAUUGGAUAAUUAGACACGUGACUAAAACAAGAUGUUUACAGUUUUAUUAAAUGGAGUGAUAACCGAAUAUUUCAAAUCCAUUUUAGUGCUUCUUCUAAGCACCAGAAAUGUAAUCGCUGCAAAACUUCUGUUGAGCUGAAGAUCUUUAAGUUAAUUGUUUGCUUUUUUAAAUGUAUGUAGACUAAACACAACAAUGUCCUGCACUUUAGGUAAUUUCACAGUUAGACCACUGAUGGGGUGCACCUGAUGCAAUACUGGUGCCCUUCUAGUGUUGAGGAGGAUUAUUUCUAGGAGUUGUGCUGAGGCAAGUUCAUAGGCAAAAACUUAACAUGCAAAUGAGCUGCUGGAAGGAGUAGUUAUAUUAUUGUUCUGUGUCAGCUAUCUUUUAACUUUAGAAGUCUCUCAAUCUCAAACAAACUUUCCAUAGACAGCUGUUAUUCCAAAUCUAUGGAAAUGAGGGGACAGCACAGUGACUGCUCGGUUUAAUGUCUUAUUUGACAGACAGCACAUCCAACGGCAAAAGUGGCCCUGACAUCAUGCAAGACUGCCUCCACAACUAUCCACUUCAACAAACCACUACCUGGAAUACAGUGACCAGGACUAACAUUUCAAAAGAAUGCUCAAGAAUGCUCAAAAUUCAGAGCAGAAUACAAGAUGGCAACAUGUUAAAAGGAUGUCAUGGUUUAUGAUAGCUUCCAUGUAUUGCCUCCAGCUUUAAUCACUGGUAAAUGUGUUGUAUAAGUAAACCCCACAAAAGGUACUGUAGAAUCUCAAAUAAUGUCUCCAGGUAGUUCGUCAAUAGAUAUGUGAAAAAAAAAUACUACAUUUGAAAUCAUUUUAUAUACAUUCCACCAAAUAUAACAUAUCCCUUGAAUAAUCUAAAACACAGCAAGACCCCACCGCCCCCUCCACCCCAAAAAAAGAAUACUAUCACAACUACACCAGAACACAAUGGACAAAUUCUGGUACAAUUAAGUGUCUGUAAGGGGUUGAAUUAUUUAAGAGCACUGAUGGGAUACACUUUCUUGUCCUGCCGAAACACCCGAUUUUUUGCCACUGAAUACAACGGUUGCAAGGCAAGGUAAGGCAAGCCUGUGGUGUACUUUAAGACUUAAACUGCUAAGUGAUGAAUGUGUUUUCAAUUUGUAUUUCUAUACUUUUGGAAGGUUACAAAUGCAUGUGAUGUUGCUUCACCAAGUAGCAAAAAAAUAAAACAUGGCAAUCAAGACAGGCCUAUAAGUAAGAUGGAAUCCAGUUAAAAUUUAGAACGAUUGCAAACAUUGAAAAAAAAAAAAAAGGCCUUCAAAGAUAUAUUUUGAAGCCAUGUGCCCCCCACCCCAGAAUAUGUAUAACUAUAAACAUGAAACCCCACAACAAUAUUGGCAACUUUUGAAAUACUAAAAGAAACAUGGUAAAUUCAAUUACAAACAUUUCUCAAUGUCUUCUUGACAAACGUUCAACUAAAAGUACAUUCUUGAAGACACUGAGAAAGGCUUAGUCAAAAUGUUUGUAAUUCCAUUUACAAAAAAUUCUUAGUAUUUUUAAACAUCACAUAUUAUCCUGUCUCAUAGGGGGAAAACAAGUAGUCAUUUUAUUAUUUCACAUCAAUGCACGCAGAGAAAAAAAAAAAUACUAAUCUUCUGGCUGGGAAAUAUGAUCCCCCAUGUAAAUAAAGAACAUAUGUCUUAUAUUUGCCUAACUUUCCUUGCUUGAGUAGCGCUGAACAGAAAGAAAAUACAAGCACAAUAACAGGAGACUGAAAGGUGGCAGAAAGGAUAUUAGAACAUCAUGUGGUUUUAAACCUUUAAGUGUUGUGCAGUCUGAAAAUAUCAGUAAUACAAAAGUGGUGACCUAAUGACAUCUGUUAAUAUAAGUCUUUAUACAAUCAAGUGAAAGUACAACAUUAAAAGUUGAAUGUGUCAUGCAGUUAUCUGCAUGCAUUUAUUUUAUUUUAUUGUUUUAACAGGAAAUAACCUAUUGAGAAAUAUUCUCAGAAAGAAAAGGAAAAAAAAAAUAGCCAAUAAAGUUACCUAACCAUAAAUAUUUUUAGGGGCAUGCAAGUAGUAAUACAUUUUUUCUCUAGUUUUUAAUUGUAAUUGGUGUUCUUUCAGUAAAAAAAAAAAAGUGCUAAUAAUAAUAAAGUGAAAAGCUUUGAAAAGCUAGGGAGUAAGGCAACUCCUUUACUGACACGUGUGGGUGAGACAGCCACGGUUAUAGCGAUUAUAGUUAAACUCAAUUUAAGGUACAAAGACUCACCUUUGGACUAUAGUUACCGUAAAAAAAUAACACAAAACUUAUUUUUGAGCAACAGUAUUAAGUAUUCAGUAAUGCAAAAAUAAUGAA